rnacentral:rRNA from 1 species
AGAGUUUGAUCAUGGCUCAGAGCGAACGCUGGGCGGCAGGGCCUAAAACAUGCAAGUCGAACGGAUCCUUCGGGAUUAGUGGCGGACGGGUGAGUAACACGUGGGAACGUGCCUUUUGGUUCGGAACAACUCAGGGAAACUUGAGCUAAUACCGAAUGUGCCCUUCGGGGGAAAGAUUUAUCGCCAUUAGAGCGGCCCGCGUCUGAUUAGCUUGUUGGUGAGGUAAAGGCUCACCAAGGCGACGAUCAGUAGCUGGUCUGAGAGGAUGAUCAGCCACACUGGGACUGAGACACGGCCCAGACUCCUACGGGAGGCAGCAGUUAGGAAUCUUGCGCAAUGGGGGAAACCCUGACGCAGCCAUGCCGCGUGAAUGAUGAAGGUCUUAGGAUUGUAAAAUUCUUUCAGCGGGGACGAUAAUGACGGUACCCGCAGAAGAAGCCCCGGCUAACUUCGUG